ACUAAGUGCAUGUGGUGGAUGCCUUGGCGAUUACAGGCGAUGAAGGACGUGAUAGCCUGCGAUAAGCUUCGGGGAGCUGGCAAAUUAGCUUUGAUCCGGAGAUUUCCGAAUGGGGAAACCCACCGAAAGGUAUCGCAUGAUGAAUACAUAGUCAUGCGAGGCGAACCGGGUGAACUGAAACAUCUCAGUAGCUCGAGGAAAAGACAUCAACCGAGAUUCCGAAAGUAGUGGCGAGCGAAAUCGGAGAAGCCUGUUAGUGAUAGCACAAGACAUAACGGAACAGCUUGGAAAGGCUGGCCAUAGCGGGUGAUAGCCCCGUACGUGAAAUGACCUGUGUGGUACUGAGCUAACGACAAGUAGGGCGGGACACGAGAAAUCCUGUCUGAAUAUGGGGGGACCAUCCUCCAAGGCUAAAUACUCAUCAUUGACCGAUAGCGAACUAGUACCGUGAGGGAAAGGCGAAAAGAACCCCGGGAGGGGAGUGAAAUAGAUCCUGAAACCGCAUGCAUACAAAAAGUCGGAGCUCGUAAGAGUGACGGCGUACCUUUUGUAUAAUGGGUCAGCGACUUACAUUCAGUGGCAAGGUUAACCGAAUAGGGAAGCCGUAGAGAAAUCGAGUCCGAAUAGGGCGAUCAGUCGCUGGGUGUAGACCCGAAACCAAGUGAUCUAUCCAUGGCCAGGAUGAAGGUGCGGUAACACGCACUGGAGGUCCGAACCGAUUAACGUUGAAAAGUUACCGGAUGAGUUGUGUUUAGGGGUGAAAGGCCAAUCAAGCCGGGAAAUAGCUGGUUCUCCGCGAAAACUAUUGAGGUAGUGCCUCGGACGAAUACCUUGGGGGGUAGAGCACUGGAUGGAUGCGGGGGUCGCGAGACCUACCAACUCUAACCAAACUCCGAAUACCCAAGAGUACUAUCCGGCAGACAGACGGUGGGUGCUAACGUCCAUCGUCAAAAGGGAAACAACCCUGACCGCCAGCUAAGGCCCCCAAAUCAUGGCUAAGUGUGAAAGGAUGUGGGGAUCCCAAAACAACCAGGAUGUUGGCUUAGAAGCAGCCAUCAUUUAAAGAAAGCGUAACAGCUCACUGGUCUAAAUAAGGGUCUUUGCGCCGAAAAUGUAACGGGGCUAAAGCCAUACACCGAAGCUUAGGGUUCGCAGUAAUGCGAGCGGUAGCGGAGCGUUCUGUAAGCUGAUGAAGCCGUACCCGUGAGGGGCGGUGGAGGUAUCAGAAGUGCGAAUGCUGACAUGAGUAGCGUUAAAGGGGGUGAAAAGCCCCCUCGCCGUAAGCGCAAGGUUUUCUACGCAACGUUCAUCGGCGUAGAGUGAGUCGGCCCCUAAGGCGAGGCAGAGAUGCGUAGCUGAUGGGAAACAGGUCAAUAUUCCUGUACCG
rnacentral:rRNA from 1 species